CAGUUAAGUUUGCCCUGAGGAAGAGACACCACUGGUUUGACCAGGUUCAGAACACACAAAGGGCUUGAAUCUGUACAGAAUGACAGCCCUGACCUGGGGAGAGUCAGACACUAUCAAGAACUGACAGGCAUAAGACUGUGACCACAGACACAGGCCCUGCAGAAGACCUGAAGUAUUUUUAGAUCUUCCAGGUCUCCAUAUGGAAGAUGGGUAACCACUUAGGGACACAACUGCAGUUCAGACCUGCUGAGGUGAUCACAGUUAAUUGAAAAAGUCUGCAAUGUAAGGCCCUGGUCUGGAGGGAGAGAACAACAGGACAACAGUCCAAGAAAGGUGAUGGCUGGAGGUCCACCAGUCUCCUCGCCUGCGAAGGGACAUUCCUAAAUAUUAAAAAAGAAGACGACCGAUGAAUGAGAUUGCCUUGCAUCAUCUCUGCCGAUGACCAGUGCUGUUAGAAAAGUGACAAUGAGCUGUGAGAGAGAAAAAUCCAGCCCUUUCCAAUGGGAUGAAGGGUCACUGUGAGCAGUGCAGGUUUAAGAGAAUUUAAAAAAUGGCC